rnacentral:lncRNA from 1 species
CUAAUACAGGUCAUAUAUUAGGCUUUUCUUUUUCAGUGGUCAACGUGGUUCAAUUUCCAGCUAGGACAUAAUUUGCACAAUAACCUGAAGUUGAAAUUAAUACUAAGAAACAAGCUGUACUGUGUGUAAGAAAAAUCCAUUAAGCUGUCUGCAUUAGAGGAAGAAGCUGACCAAUGGAGUUGAAGCAAAUGUGUUAUACCGUAAGAAGAAAGGUUCAGACAAAUAUCACAGGAACCAGGAUGACACUCCAAUAAGCCAAAAUAUGAGCACCAGGUCUGCACCCUGAGAGAAGUGCACAUCCUGAAGUUCUUCCUCCAAAGAUCUACUGCCUUGUUGUAGUUGCAAGCCACAACAGAAACAAAGGAUAUAUUAAUCUACUAAGGAAUAAGAAUUUUAAGAAAACAUGGAGAAUCCAGAACUACAUGCAGUUCAUACAAUGAAUGAUGACUAAAGUUUGGCAAUCACAACAGGAAAUGAAUUAUCAAUGAAUUACCAAAUUAAAUGUUAAAGCCUCCAGUAUUCCAUGAGAAGACUCAAGUGUGUAUCUGUGAAUUUGGCAGUACCUUGAGCCUGAUGCUCGUGUUGAGAAUGUUUUCCAAGGAGUCCCAGGAGCCAGAGCUUAGCAAACAGCAAACUGACAGUGAGAGAUGUAUGGAAGCUGCUUUAGAAAGGGGUAUGGCCUUCAUCCUCAGAAAAACAUAUUCACACAUCUUGUAACAGGAUUAGCAGUGAUCUGAACUGAAGGCUGAAGGAGGAAGAGGAGGAGGUAGGAAUUAGUGACAAGCCAAGUAUGCAGAUGACCUUUCUGAAGCUGUUGAUAGAGCUGAUUGAUUGUUUCUUCUACAUAACAUUUUGAUUUGCAGCUUUCAUUUCUCCAGGCACAAUUGAAAGACAUACAUUAAUUUUACUUGAAAUCUCUUUCAGAGGGAUUUUGCUAACAUGCCAAAAGUACAAUCAUGGGUUUAUAUGCUCUGGUAAGUGAGUGCAGG